rnacentral:rRNA from 1 species
UACGUAGGGUGCAAGCGUUGUCCGGAAUUAUUGGGCGUAAAGAGCUCGUAGGCGGUUUGUUGCGUCGGCUGUGAAAUCCCGAGGCUCAACCUCGGGUCUGCAGUCGAUACGAGCAAACUAGAGUGUUGCAGGGAGACUGGGAAUUCCUGGUGUAGCGGUGAAAUGACGCAGAUAUCAGGAGGAACACCGGUGGCGAAGGCGGGUCUCUGGGC